rnacentral:rRNA from 1 species
GAUGAACGCUAGCUAUAGGCUUAACACAUGCAAGUCGAGGGGCAGCAUAUAGAUUGCUUGCAAUUUAUGAUGGCGACCGGCGCACGGGUGAGUAACGCGUAUCCAACCUACCCAUUACUAGGGAAUAACCCAGCGAAAGUUGGCCUAAUGCCCUAUGUAGUCGUUUGAUCGCCUGAGAUUUCGACGAAAGAUUUAUCGGUAUUGGAUGGGGAUGCGUCUGAUUAGCUUGUUGGCGGGGUAAAGGCCCACCAAGGCAACGAUCAGUAGGGGUUCUGAGAGGAAGGUCCCCCACAUUGGAACUGAGACACGGUCCAAACUCCUACGGGAGGCAGCAGUGAGGAAUAUUGGUCAAUGGGCGAGAGCCUGAACCAGCCAAGUAGCGUGCAGGAUGACGGCCCUAUGGGUUGUAAACUGCUUUUAUAUGGGAAUAAAGUGAGGGACGUGUCCCUUAUUGC